rnacentral:rRNA from 1 species
UACAGGGGGGGGCAAGCGUUUGUUCGGAUUCAUUGGGCGUAAAGGGUGCGUAGGCGGCGCGGUAAGUCGGGUGUGAAAUCUCGGAGCUUAACUCCGAAACUGCAUUCGAUACUGCCGUGCUUGAGGACUGGAGAGGAGACUGGAAUUUACGGUGUAGCGGUGAAAUGCGUAGAUAUCGUAAGGAAGACCAGUGGCGAAGGCGGGUCUCUGGACAGUUCCUGACGCUGAGGCACGAAGGUCAGGGGAGCAAACGGG